rnacentral:snoRNA from 1 species
GUGCAAUGACUGAUUUGGAUAAGUUUCGGCUGACUGAUUUGAUGCCAACUUUUAACUAUGCUGAGCAC